UACGGAGGGGGCUAGCGUUGUUCGGAAUUACUGGGCGUAAAGCGCGCGUAGGCGGCUUGGAAAGUUGGGGGUGAAAGCCCGGAGCUCAACUCCGGAAUUGCCUUCAAAACUCCCAAGCUAGAGUUCGGAAGAGGAGAGUGGAAUUCCCAGUGUAGAGGUGAAAUUCGUAGAUAUUGGGAAGAACACCAGUGGCGAAGGCGGCUCUCUGGUCCGAUACUGACGCUGAGGUGCGAAAGCGUGGGGAGCAAACAGG
rnacentral:rRNA from 1 species